rnacentral:rRNA from 1 species
UGGGGAAUUUUGGACAAUGGGCGAAAGCCUGAUCCAGCAAUGCCGCGUGUGUGAAGAAGGCCUUCGGGUUGUAAAGCACUUUUGUCCGGAAAGAAAUCCUUGGCUCUAAUACAGUCGGGGGAUGACGGUACCGGAAGAAUAAGCACCGGCUAACUACGUGCCAGCAGCCGCGGUAAUACGUAGGGUGCAAGCGUUAAUCGGAAUUACUGGGCGUAAAGCGUGCGCAGGCGGUUUGCUAAGACCGAUGUGAAAUCCCCGGGCUCAACCUGGGAACUGCAUUGGUGACUGGCAGGCUAGAGUAUGGCAGAGGGGGGUAGAAUUCCACGUGUAGCAGUGAAAUGCGUAGAGAUGUGGAGGAAUACCGAUGGCGAAGGCAGCCCCCUGGGCCAAUACUGACGCUCAUGCACGAAAGCGUGGGGGAGCAAAACAGGAUUAGAUACCCUGGUAGUCCACGCCCUAAAACGAUGUCAACUAGUUGUUGGGGAUUCAUUCCUUAGUAACGUAGCUAACGCGUGAAGUUGACCGCCUGGGGAGUACGGUCGCAAAGAUUAAAACUUAAAUGAAUUGACGGGGUCAUAGCUG